rnacentral:rRNA from 1 species
UACGAAGGGGGCUAGCGUUGCUCGGAAUUACUGGGCGUAAAGCGCAUGUAGGCGGCGAUUCAAGUUAGAUGUGAAAGGCCUGGGCUCAACCCGGGAACUGCAUUUGAUACUGAAUUGCUAGAGUCCAAGAGAGGGUAGUGGAAUUCCCAGUGUAGAGGUGAAAUUCGUAGAUAUUGGGAAGAACACCAGUGGCGAAGGCGGCUACCUGGCUUGGUACUGACGCUCAGAUGCGAAAGCGUGGGGAGCAAACAGGAUUAGAUACCCUGGUAGUCCACGCCGUAAACGAUGGGUGCUAGAUGUCGGGCAGCAUGCUGUUCGGUGUCGUAGCUAACGCGUUAAGCACCCCGCCUGGGGAGUACGGUCGCAAGAUUAAA